GACGAACGCUGGCGGCGUGCCUAAUACAUGCAAGUCGAGCGGACGAAUCGAAAGCUUGCUUUUGAUUCGUUAGCGGCGGACGGGUGAGUAACACGUGGGCAACCUGCCCUGUAGACGGGGAUAACACCGAGAAAUCGGUGCUAAUACCGGAUAACACGAAAUGUCGCAUGACGUUUCGUUGAAAGACGGCGCAAGCUGUCGCUACAGGAUGGGCCCGCGGCGCAUUAGCUAGUUGGUGAGGUAACGGCUCACCAAGGCGACGAUGCGUAGCCGCCCUGAGAGGGUGAUCGGCCACACUGGGACUGAGGCACGGCCCAGACUCCUACGGGAGGCAGCAGUAGGGAAUCUUCCGCAAUGGACGAAAGUCUGACGGAGCAGCGCCGCGUGAGCGAAGAAGGCCUUCGGGUCGUAAAGCUCUGUUGUUAGGGAAGAACAAGUAACGCAGUAACUGGCGUUACCGUGACGGUACCUAACGAGAAAGCCACGGCUAACUACGUGCCAGCCGCCGCCGUAA
rnacentral:rRNA from 1 species